GAUGAACGCUGGCGGCGUGCCUAAUACAUGCAAGUCGAGCGAACGGACGAGAAGCUUGCUUCUCUGAUGUUAGCGGCGGACGGGUGAGUAACACGUGGAUAACCUACCUAUAAGACUGGGAUAACUUCGGGAAACCGGAGCUAAUACCGGAUAAUAUUUUGAACCGCAUGGUUCAAAAGUGAAAGACGGUCUUGCUGUCACUUAUAGAUGGAUCCGCGCUGCAUUAGCUAGUUGGUAAGGUAACGGCUUACCAAGGCAACGAUGCAUAGCCGACCUGAGAGGGCGAUCGGCCACACUGGAACUGAGACACGGUCCAGACUCCUACGGGAGGCAGCAGUAGGGAAUCUUCCGCAAUGGGCGAAAGCCUGACGGAGCAACGCCGCGUGAGUGAUGAAGGUCUUCGGAACGUAAAACUCUGUUAUUAGGGAAGAACAUAUGUGUAAGUAACUGUGCACAUCUUGACGGUACCUAAUCAGAAAGCCACGGCUAACUACGUG
rnacentral:rRNA from 1 species